rnacentral:tRNA from 1 species
UAGCUCAGUUUGGUAGAGCAUCUCGUUUACACCGAGAGGGUCGGCAGUUCGAUCCUGUC